CUACGGGGGGCACCAGUGGGGAAUAUUGGACAAUGGGGGAAACCCUGAUCCAGCAAUGCCGCGUGUGUGAAGAAGGCCUGCGGGUUGUAAAGCACUUUCGGUUGGGAGGACUGCUUCUAGCACUAAUAUUGUUGGAAGUUGACGUUACCUUCAGAAGAAGCACCGGCUAACUCCGUGCCAGCGAGCCGCGGUAAUACGGAGGGUGCAAGCGUUAAUCGGAAUUACUGGGCGUAAAGCGCGCGUAGGCGGCUAGAUCAGUCGGGUGUGAAAGCCCCGGGCUUAACCUGGGAACUGCAUCCGAUACUGUCUAGCUUGAGUACAGGAGAGGAGAGUGGAAUUCCACAUGUAGCGGUGAAAUGCGUAGAUAUGUGGAGGAACACCAAUGGCGAAGGCAGCUCUCUGGCCUGAUACUGACGCUGAGGUGCGAAAGCGUGGGGGGCAAACAGGAUUAGAUACCCCGGUAGUC
rnacentral:rRNA from 1 species